AUGAACGCUGGCGGCGUGCCUAAUACAUGCAAGUCGAGCGAACAGACGAGGAGCUUGCUCCUCUGACGUUAGCGGCGGACGGGUGAGUAACACGUGGAUAACCUACCUAUAAGACUGGGAUAACUUCGGGAAACCGGAGCUAAUACCGGAUAAUAUAUUGAACCGCAUGGUUCAAUAGUGAAAGACGGUUUUGCUGUCACUUAUAGAUGGAUCCGCGCCGCAUUAGCUAGUUGGUAAGGUAACGGCUUACCAAGGCAACGAUGCGUAGCCGACCUGAGAGGGUGAUCGGCCACACUGAAACUGAGACACGGUCCAGACUCCUACGGGAGGCAGCAGUAGGGAAUCUUCCGCAAUGGGCGAAAGCCUGACGGAGCAACGCCGCGUGAGUGAUGAAGGUCUUCGGAUCGUAAAACUCUGUUAUUGGGGAAGAACAAAUGUGUAAGUAACUAUGCACGUCUUGACGGUACCUAAUCAGAAAGCCACGGCUAACUACGU
rnacentral:rRNA from 1 species